CGAAUGCGUCCGAUCGCUCCUGUGGCCGACGCCGCGCCGCCCGCGACUCGCGAAUCGCACUGUGUGUCGUCUGUCAGUCUUGCACGCGUCUCUCCGAAGAGAUAGACGCUCUAGACGCCCCCGACUGCCGACGUCGCGACGCUCGUGCCGACGAACAACCGCGUUUCACUCGCUGUUUUGGCCGUUGUUGGAUCGGUCUCGAAAAAAAACAAUAACAUUGUCGGAUAAUUGUGCGUUUUUUUUUCUCGUUAUUUGAGGAGGUUUUUUUUGUUUACCGCUGGUUUUUUGGAAGGAGUUGUUGGAUUUUUCGAUUGGAAGACCGAGUUCUGUGGCACACUGUGUACAAAACUAUUGUUAGAGGUCCUGCAGAAUUGUGCAUCUAAUAUCUAAUAGUCGAAGGUUCCCCAUUAGGAUGAUUUAUUUUGAGUCAGUCCACAAAAACUGCGUUACAUAAGUGUAUACGAAAAAUAUUCACUAUUCAACAAGUAACUAUUGUAGAGUGGAGAUCUUUCCAGAGAAGACUAGAGUUGUGUGAAUCUAACAUAAGGAUAUCGACUGAGAAUUGCUGUGAAAUUAAUUUGCACCAACAGAAGCGGAAGCGGAAAGGUCCUUGAAGGAAGACAAAAUUCAACAUAUCCUGACAUAUCGUCAUGUUAAUUCCUUGGUUUCUUAGCCUUUUCAUAGGCGUAGUAUGGGG